GACGAACGCUGGCGGCGUGCUUAACACAUGCAAGUCGAACGGACCAUCGGGUUAGUGGCGAACGGGUGAGUAACACGUGGGUGAUCUGCCCUGCACUUUGGGAUAAGCCUGGGAAACUGGGUCUAAUACCGAAUAGGACCACGCGCUUCAUGGUGUGUGGUGGAAAGCUUUUGCGGUGUGGGAUGGGCCCGCGGCCUAUCAGCUUGUUGGUGGGGUAAUGGCCUACCAAGGCGACGACGGGUAGCCGGCCUGAGAGGGUGACCGGCCACACUGGGACUGAGAUACGGCCCAGAAUCCGACGGGAGGCAGCAGUGGGGAAUAGUGCACAAUGGGCGCAAGCCUGAUGCAGCGAGGCCGCGUGAGGGAUGACGGCCUUCGGGUUGGAAACCUCUUGCGCCAGGGACGAAGCGCAAGUGACGGUACCUGGAGAAGAAGGACCGGCAAACUACGUGCCAGCCGCCGCCGUAAGAC
rnacentral:rRNA from 1 species